UUAAUUGAAGAGUUUGAUCAUGGCUCAGAUUGAACGCUGGCGGCAGGCCUAACACAUGCAAGUCGAGCGGUAACAGAGAGUAGCUUGCUACUUUGCUGACGAGCGGCGGACGGGUGAGUAAUGCUUGGGAAUAUGCCUUUUGGUGGGGGACAACAGUUGGAAACGACUGCUAAUACCGCAUAAUGUCUACGGACCAAAGUGGG
rnacentral:rRNA from 2 species